UUUUUUUUUUUUUUUUUUUUGAGGGAGGGACGAUCCUUGUUUGUUUGGAUUUGGGCAGUAAGAACAUCUCACAUGAGAUCUCCGUCUUAACAAAUUUUUAAGUAUACAGUACAGUAUUGUUAACUACAGGCAGAGGGAGAAGCAGGCUCCAUGCAGGGAGCCUGAUGUGGGACUCUAUCCCGGGUCUCCAGGAUCACGCUAAAGGUGGCGCUAAACCGCUGAGCCACCCGGGCUGCCCAGGAGUUUGUUUUUAAAUGGUAUUUACACACCUUUCUUCUUGACUUGUGGACAUUUUACAGAAAUUGAUUGAAAACCUGAGAUGAUUUAAAUAUGAAAGAGCAAGAGUCCUCACCAGGACUUUUUUUUGUUCAAAAAGUUAACCAAUGGCAAAAUAGGUUUCUCCCUGGAAUCUUCUUCUGAGUUUUGUCCAGAAUUCUACCCCUUUGAAUUUAUUGAAACGUGGUUUCUCUUUUAGUUCCUGGUUCCUUUUAUUGUUUUUAUCUUGGCGCUAAUCUCUGUUUACCCAGGUUCUGACAUUUCUACCCCAGAAUUAAUUACCCCAGAUGGUCUGCUCUCCUGUGUUUUCCAAGCAAACAAAGUGGGCAGGAAAUAUGAGUUUCCUGAGCAAAUUGGCCUUCCGUUUUAGUAUGAGACUUUGCCUUUUAGAAGCUUGCUUAUUUUAUGUCUACCUUUUCUGUUAAUAACUGAUUAAGGAUUUUUCAUUUGGAUCUAAUUAGAUCUUACCUUUUCCCAUUUAAAAUUUAGUCCUAAUAUUUUGCCUUUUUCUUCCCUGAGUCUCCUUCAUAGAAUCCACUGCUUUAUUGAAUUUGAACUGUGACAUCCUCUCUGUUGACUAGCUCCUUGCUCAGAAUAGCUUCUCCACACCUGGAACGUUGGCCUCAGAUUUCUUCUCACUUUUAGGCACUUCCCUUGACAUGGCAGUGUGAGUGAGCUCUCGUGAGCCUUGCCUCUUGGAGUUUCACACAGAUGGGUCACUCCUGACCUUGGUGAGUCAUUCAAUGACCAGAAGUUGCUUCUCUCCUCCACCUCAGCACCAAGUGUGCUGUUCUUUGAAGGAUAUCACCUCUUUCUGCCUUUCUGCAAGGCAGCAAUCCGGAAACGGCUGCCUUAAAUGUAGGGACCACUAAGGUCUUCCCUCCACAUGUUACCCAGAUCACCAAUGAUAACCCAGUCCCGAAACACUGCCCCUCUGCCUAAACUAGAGUUAGGCCAGGCUGGACACGGUAGCUUCCUCUCCAGUUGCAGACACUGGAUCAGGAAAAAUCUCCCCAAAAUCUGUCGUCAGGCUGGACUUUUCCUCUUCUCUCUCUCCUCACACCCCCACUUCCAUCCAUUCAUUCAGUGUCUAUAGACACCAACUGUGUGCCAGUCAUGCUGGUCUUUGGACACCACCAGGGAAGUGACCGUGGUAGCAUGCUAAGUGCUGACUCAGGACACGGCAAAGACUUCUCAGUCUAUAAAGGGGAGUGAAGGCUCAGUGAUGGCCCCACAUGAAGGCUGCUCAAACUGAGUGUUGAAAGAUUGUUUGCAGUUCAUCUGUGAACAUCCUCCAUUCUGCCUACUUUGUACCAGAGGACUGCUCUCGGGGGGAAAUAAGCUUGGCGGGAUGGUCAGCAGAAAACCCUAGCAGACACCACCUUAACCCAGUGAUCAAAUUAAUAUCCCCAGCAUUUGUACAACACAGCACUUCUGUGACGUUUCUACCCGCAGUGCAUUACCUGAAUCUAAUUAUGAAGAAAUGAGAGAAAAGCCCAGAUUGAGGCCCAUCCUGCAAAACAGCUGGCCUGUGCUUUUCAAAAAGAUAGAAGGUGUGGAAGACAAAGACUAAGGACCUGUCCUAGUUAAAGGAGGUCAACAAGACAUGACAACUGGAUGCAGCGCAUGGUCCGGGACUUUUCUUUUGUUGUAAUGAACAUCACUGGGACAAUUGGCAAAAUCCGAAUAUUACCUGCAGGUUACAGCAUUGUUUUAUCAAUGUUAAUUUCCUGACCUUGAGAAUUGUACUGUGGUUAUGUAGGAGUUCCUAGGAAAUACACAGUGGAGUCUCUGAGGGGAAAGGGGUAUCGUGUUUAAUUUAUUCUCAAAUGAUAGCAGAGAAAGUGUGUGUGUGUGUGUAGAGAGAGAGAGAGAGAGGCCAGGGGAGAUAAAGCAAAUGUAAUCAUGUUAACAUUUGGGGAAAUCUGGGUGAAGAAUUGGGUGUUUAUACCACCCAAAUCUGGUAUAAAAGAAUUCUUUAUACCGUUCUUGCAACUAAUAUUCUAUAAGUCUGCAAUGUCUAAAACAAUUUUUUAGGAGUGCAUGGGGUGGUUCAGUCUGUUAAGCAUCCGACUCUUGGUCAUGACCUCAGAAUCAUGGCAUCAAGCCCCAUGUCCCGCUCCUCACUCAGCAGGGAAGUCUGCUUGAGAUUUUCUCCCGUGGCCCCUUUGUCCACAUGAUCUCCCUCUGUCUCUCUAAAAUAAAUAAAUAUUUUUUAAAAAUGUUUUUUAAACAAUUGGUGGGUCCUGGGUGCCUGGGAAUUCCAAGGAUUUAGUAGAAUACAGUGUCUGACAAAUCCCUAGUCAGCUACACAGACAGAGCCAGACUUCUCACAGGUGCCUGCAGUUUCUAUCUCAUCAAUCAGCUUCCCCCUCAAACAGUAGUCCCUCGUUAGCUGAAUCCUUUCUGCAAAACAGGGGUUCUUAGCCUGUUUCUGUCGAAUGAUCUGUGGAGGCAGAAAAUUAUAAGGCUUGUGUUUUCUCCAUUGUAGAAAAUUAAACUCUAUAUUCU
rnacentral:lncRNA from 1 species